GACGAACGCUGGCGGCGUGCUUAACACAUGCAAGUCGAACGGAAAGGCCCUGCUUUUGUGGGGUGCUCGAGUGGCGAACGGGUGAGUAACACGUGAGUAACCUGCCCUUGACUUUGGGAUAACUUCAGGAAACUGGGGCUAAUACCGGAUAGGAGCUCCUGCUGCAUGGUGGGGGUUGGAAAGUUUCGGCGGUUGGGGAUGGACUCGCGGCUUAUCAGCUUGUUGGUGGGGUAGUGGCUUACCAAGGCUUUGACGGGUAGCCGGCCUGAGAGGGUGACCGGCCACAUUGGGACUGAGAUACGGCCCAGACUCCUACGGGAGGCAGCAGUGGGGAAUAUUGCACAAUGGGCGGAAGCCUGAUGCAGCAACGCCGCGUGCGGGAUGACGGCCUUCGGGUUGUAAACCGCUUUCGCCUGUGACGAAGCGUGAGUGACGGUAAUGGGUAAAGAAGCACCGGCUAACUACGUGCCAGCAGCCGCGGUGAUACGUAGGGUGCGAGCGUUGUCCGGAUUUAUUGGGCGUAAAGGGCUCGUAGGUGGUUGAUCGCGUCGGAAGUGUAAUCUUGGGGCUUAACCCUGAGCGUGCUUUCGAUACGGGUUGACUUGAGGAAGGUAGGGGAGAAUGGGAUUCCUGGUGGAGCGGUGGAAUGCGCAGAUAUCAGGAGGAACACCAGUGGCGAGGGCGGUUCUCUGGGCCUUUCCUGACGCUGAGGAGCGAAAGCGUGGGGAGCGAACAGGCUUAGAUACCCUGGUAGUCCACGCUGUAAACGGUGGGUACUAGGUGUGGGGUCCAUUCCACGGGUUCCGUGCCGUAGCUAACGCUUUAAGUACCCCGCCUGGGGAGUACGGCCGCAAGGCUAAAACUCAAAGGAAUUGACGGGGCCCCGCACAAGCGGCGGAGCAUGCGGAUUAAUUCGAUGCAACGCGUAGAACCUUACCUGGGUUUGACAUGGAUCGGGAGUGCUCAGAGAUGGGUGUGCCUCUUUUGGGGUCGGUUCACAGGUGGUGCAUGGCUGUCGUCAGCUCGUGUCGUGAGAUGUUGGGUUAAGUCCCGCAACGAGCGCAACCCUUGUUCACUGUUGCCAGCACGUUAUGGUGGGGACUCAGUGGAGACCGCCGGGGUCAACUCGGAGGAAGGUGGGGAUGACGUCAAGUCAUCAUGCCCCUUAUGUCCAGGGCUUCACGCAUGCUACAAUGGCUGGUACAGAGAGUGGCGAGCCUGUGAGGGUGAGCGAAUCUCGGAAAGCCGGUCUCAGUUCGGAUUGGGGUCUGCAACUCGACCUCAUGAAGUCGGAGUCGCUAGUAAUCGCAGAUCAGCAACGCUGCGGUGAAUACGUUCCCGGG
rnacentral:rRNA from 1 species